rnacentral:snRNA from 1 species
GUGCUCGCUUCGGCAGCACAUAUACUAAGA